GACGAACGCUGGCGGCGUGCUUAACACAUGCGAGUCGAACGGAAAGGCCCUGCUUUUGUGGGGUGCUCGAGUGGCGAACGGGUGAGUAACACGUGAGUAACCUGCCCUUGACUUUGGGAUAACUUCAGGAAACUGGGGCUAAUACCGGAUAGGAGCUCCUGCUGCAUGGUGGGGGUUGGAAAGUUUCGGCGGUUGGGGAUGGACUCGCGGCUUAUCAGCUUGUUGGUGGGGUAGUGGCUUACCAAGGCUUUGACGGGUAGCCGACCUGAGAGGGUGACCGGCCACAUUGGGACUGAGAUACGGCCCAGACCCCUACGGGAGGCAGCAGUGGGGAAUAUUGCACAAUGGGCGGAAGCCUGAUGCAGCAACGCCGCGUGCGGGAUGACGGCCUUCGGGUUGUAAACCGCUUUCGCCUGUGACGAAGCGUGAGUGACGGUAAUGGGUAAAGAAGCACCGGCUAACUACGUG
rnacentral:rRNA from 1 species